rnacentral:rRNA from 1 species
GGCGAGGGGAGUGAAAAAGAACCUGAAACCGUGUACGUACAAGCAGUGGGAGCACAGAGCAAUCUGUGUGACUGCGUACCUUUUGUAUAAUGGGUCAGCGACUUAUAUUCUGUAGCAAGGUUAACCGAAUAGGGGAGCCGAAGGGAAACCGAGUCUUAACUGGGCGUUAAGUUGCAGGGUAUAGACCCGAAACCCGGUGAUCUAGCCAUGGGCAGGUUGAAGGUUGGGUAACACUAACUGGAGGACCGAACCGACUAAUGUUGAAAAAUUAGCGGAUGACUUGUGGCUGGGGGUGAAAGGCCAAUCAAACCGGGAGAUAGCUGGUUCUCCCCGAAAGCUAUUUAGGUAGCGCCUCGUGAAUUCAUCUCCGGGGGUAGAGCACUGUUUCGGCAAGGGGGUCAUCCCGACUUACCAACCCGAUGCAAACUGCGAAUACCGGAGAAUGUUAUCACGGGAGACACACGGCGGGUGCUAACGUCCGUCGUGAAGAGGGAAACAACCCAGACCGCCAGCUAAGGUCCCAAAGUCAUGGUUAAGUGGGAAACGAUGUGGGAAGGCCCAGACAGCCAGGAUGUUGGCUUAGAAGCAGCCAUCAUUUAAAGAAAGCGUAAUAGCUCACUGGUCGAGUCGGCCUGCGCGGAAGAUGUAACGGGGCUAAACCAUGCACCGAAGCUGCGGCAGCGACGCUUAUGCGUUGUUGGGUAGGGGAGCGUUCUGUAAGCCUGUGAAGGUGUACUGUGAGGUAUGCUGGAGGUAUCAGAAGUGCGAAUGCUGACAUAAGUAACGAUAAAGCGGGUGAAAAGCCCGCUCGCCGGAAGACCAAGGGUUCCUGUCCAACGUUAAUCGGGGCAGGGUGAGUCGACCCCUAAGGCGAGGCCGAAAGGCGUAGUCGAUGGGAAACAGGUUAAUAUUCCUGUACUUGGUGUUACUGCGAAGGGGGGACGGAGAAGGCUAUGUUGGCCGGGCGACGGUUGUCCCGGUUUAAGCGUGUAGGCUGGUUUUCCAGGCAAAUCCGGAAAAUCAAGGCUGAGGCGUGAUGACGAGGCACUACGGUGCUGAAGCAACAAAUGCCCUGCUUCCAGGAAAAGCCUCUAAGCAUCAGGUAACAUCAAAUCGUACCCCAAACCGACACAGGUGGUCAGGUAGAGAAUACCAAGGCGCUUGAGAGAACUCGGGUGAAGGAACUAGGCAAAAUGGUGCCGUAACUUCGGGAGAAGGCACGCUGAUACGUAGGUGAAGUCCCUCGCGGAUGGAGCUGAAAUCAGUCGAAGAUACCAGCUGGCUGCAACUGUUUAUUAAAAACACAGCACUGUGCAAACACGAAAGUGGACGUAUACGGUGUGACGCCUGCCCGGUGCCGGAAGGUUAAUUGAUGGGGUCAGCGCAAGCGAAGCUCUUGAUCGAAGCCCCGGUAAACGGCGGCCGUAACUAUAACGGUCCUAAGGUAGCGAAAUUCCUUGUCGGGUAAGUUCCGACCUGCACGAAUGGCGUAAUGAUGGCCAGGCUGUCUCCACCCGAGACUCAGUGAAAUUGAACUCGCUGUGAAGAUGCAGUGUACCCGCGGCAAGACGGAAAGACCCCGUGAACCUUUACUAUAGCUUGACACUGAACAUUGAGCCUUGAUGUGUAGGAUAGGUGGGAGGCUUUGAAGUGUGGACGCCAGUCUGCAUGGAGCCGACCUUGAAAUACCACCCUUUAAUGUUUGAUGUUCUAACGUGGACCCGUGAUCCGGGUUGCGGACAGUGUCUGGUGGGUAGUUUGACUGGGGCGGUCUCCUCCUAAAGAGUAACGGAGGAGCACGAAGGUUGGCUAAUCCUGGUCGGACAUCAGGAGGUUAGUGCAAUGGCAUAAGCCAGCUUGACUGCGAGCGUGACGGCGCGAGCAGGUGCGAAAGCAGGUCAUAGUGAUCCGGUGGUUCUGAAUGGAAGGGCCAUCGCUCAACGGAUAAAAGGUACUCCGGGGAUAACAGGCUGAUACCGCCCAAGAGUUCAUAUCGACGGCGGUGUUUGGCACCUCGAUGUCGGCUCAUCACAUCCUGGGGCUGAAGUAGGUCCCAAGGGUAUGGCUGUUCGCCAUUUAAAGUGGUACGCGAGCUGGGUUUAGAACGUCGUGAGACAGUUCGGUCCCUAUCUGCCGUGGGCGCUGGAGAACUGAGGGGGGCUGCUCCUAGUACGAGAGGACCGGAGUGGACGCAUCACUGGUGUUCGGGUUGUCAUGCCAAUGGCACUGCCCGGUAGCUAAAUGCGGAAGAGAUAAGUGCUGAAAGCAUCUAAGCACGAAACUUGCC